GUGCCAGCAGCCGCGGUAAUACGUAGGCAGCAAGCGUUGUUCGGAAUUACUGGGCGUAAAGAGUGUGUAGGCGGUGCUCUAAGUCUGUUGUGAAAUCUCCCGGCUUAACCGGGAGGGUGCGGCGGAAACUGGAGUGCUUGAGGGUGGGAGAGGUAAGCGGAAUUCCUGGUGUAGCGGUGAAAUGCGUAGAUAUCAGGAGGAACACCUGUGGUGUAGACAGCUUACUGGACCACUUCUGACGCUGAGACACGAAAGCGUGGGUAGCAAACAGGAUUAGAAACCCCUGUAGUCC
rnacentral:rRNA from 1 species